CCCCUUCCCUUUCGCAGCGCGGCUUCUUAUAUUCGGCGGGUCAGCUUGCCUGACUAUGGAAAUAAACGGCCGAUGAAAUAAACCAUUCGGACCCGGGGGCGGUACCCGGCGCCUCCACCAGGAACCGCAGCAUCGCGCUGCGGCUGCUGAUGGGGGCGAAACAGGAUCGACGAGGGCGUAAAGAUCGGACUUUUUCCCGGCAUUGUACCACCGUUAUCGGGCUAAUCUUAUAGUUGCCAACGACAACUAUGCUGAGGCACGUCUCGCUGCUUAAUGCGGCGCGAUAGUCUCGAAUUAAGCCCUGUGGGUUAGCACCUUCAGGCGGGGUUCGGAGGUACCUGGCAACAGAAACCUCCACC
rnacentral:tmRNA from 1 species